rnacentral:rRNA from 1 species
AGUCCUUUAACAGGCAGAUAUGCGGCCUGUACAGGUAUCAGCACAGAAUCAGAGGAGACCAGUGCAUUGAUUGUCAUCAUACCAAGGCUUGGCAUACAGUCGAUCAGGAUAUAAUCGUAUCGGCAUCUUAUCGCAUCGAUAUAUUCCUUCAUGAUCAUUUCUCUGCUCAUAACAUUUCCCAUCGUCACUUCCAGUACGGAAAGCUCAAUAUUUGCCGGAAGCAGAUCUACAUUUUCCUGAUGAUGCAGAAUACCGUCUUCCUCUGAUAUUUCAUCUUCAUUAAUCACUUUCGUCAUGAUGGUUGCCAAAGUAACUCCCAGUUCAUCCGGCUCUACAUAUCCAAGACUUGCUGUCAGGCUUCCCUGUGGAUCUGCAUCGAUCAAUAAUACUUUUUUUCCUUCUCUUGCCAGGCCAAUUCCUAAAUUUACGGUUGUGGUGGUCUUUACGACUCCGCCUUUCUGGUUUGUAAUGGAUAUCACUUUACACAUAUGUUGUUCCUCCUGUAUUCUUUCAUCAAAAUUCUUCAUCACGGAAUGCUUCCAGAUAUUCAUCAAUAAGAUCCAAAUUAACUAACACGAUUCUUUUGACAUGGUAUACUGCUCUGGCAUCUUUUGCUAACUGUUGAAAUGUAUGGACUCCCAUGGAAUAAAGCAUUGCCCCUUCCUCAUAACGGACAAAUUUCUUGCGUCCUCCUUUGACAAGCUUUUCCAAAUCCGGAACCUUGCUUCGGUUAUUUCCCAUAACGCUUCCCCCUUCUCUUCUUUAAUUCUGAUGCAACAUCAGGAUUGUCUUCUAAAAAAUCAUCCAGAAUAUUCAGAUCCACAAUAGCUGUCUUUCGAAUCGGAUAAUUGGCUUCUGCCUUUUUCGCCAGUCUGACAAAAGGCCAGCUCAAGUUAGAUACCUGGAGGUAAAGCACUGAAUAGCCUAGCGGCCGAGAGGUUAGCGAAGCUUAUCAAACUCAGAAUGCCAGAGUAUUGAUGCUUGGGAGUCAGACAGUGUCAGAUAAAUGUCAUUGUCAAAAGGGAAACAGCCCAGAUCUACAGCUAAGGUCCCAAAGUCAGGUUAAGUGGAAAACGAUGUGGAGAUACGCAGACAACCAGGAUGUUGGCUCAGAAGCAGCCACUCAUUCAAAGAGUGCGUAAUAGCUCACUGGUCGAGCGUCUUUGCGCGGAGAAUUUAACGGGGCUAAACCUGACACCGAAGCUUAGGCAGCAUGUUUACAUGUUGGGUAGGGGAGCGUUGUAUACGCGGUGAAACAGUAGCGCAAGCGGCUGUGGAGUGUAUAGAAGUGAGAAUGCCGGAAUGAGUAGCGCGAAUGCAGUGAGAAUCUGCAUGGCCGAAAGCCUCAGGUUUCUGGAGGAAGGUUCGUCCGCUCCAGGUUAGUCGGGAGCUAAGGUGAGGCCUAACGGCGUAGCCGAUGCACAGACGGUAGAGAUUCCGUCACCACCAAAAGAGUUAAACACAGGGACACAUAUGAAGUCUCGGAGCCGGGUGUUGGUUCCGGUAGCGAUCGAGGGAAGUUAGUACCGAAGUCCGGGAUGGAAGAUGGCGAGAAAAGCUGUGUGUAUUUCUGCGGUGCCCGUACCGCAAACCGACACAGGUAGGUAGGAAGAAGAUUCUAAGGCCAACGGGAGAAGGGUUGUUAAGGAACUCGGCAAAUUGACCCCGUAACUUCGGGAGAAGGGGUGCUCCAGCGAUGGAGCCGCAGAGAAUCGGCCCAAGCAACUGUUUACCAAAAACACAGGUUUGUGCUAAAUCGAAAGAUGACGUAUACGAGCUGACGCCUGCCCGGUGCUGGAAGGUUAAGAGGAGAUGUGCAAGCAUUGAAUCGAAGCCCCAGUGAACGGCGGCCGUAACUAUAACGGUCCUAAGGUAGCGAAAUUCCUUGUCAGGUAAG